GAUGAAGAACGUAGCGAAAUGCGAUAAGUAAUGCGAAUUGCAGAAUUCAGUGAAUCAUCGAAUCUUUGAACGCACAUUGCGCCCGCCAGUAUUCUGGCGGGCAUGCCUGUCCGAGCGUCAUUUCAACCCUCGAACCCCUCCGGGGGGUCGGCGUUGGGGAUCGGGAACCCCUAAGACGGGAUCCCGGCCCCGAAAUACAGUGGCGGUCUCGCCGCAGCCUCUCCUGCGCAGUAGUUUGCACAACUCGCACCGGGAGCGCGGCGCGUCCACGUCCGUAAAACACCCAACUUCUGAAAUGUUGACCUCGGAUCAGGUAGGAAUACCCGCUGAACUUAAGCAUAUCAAUAAGCGGAGG
rnacentral:misc_RNA from 1 species